rnacentral:rRNA from 1 species
UACGGGGGGGGCAAGCGUUGUUCGGAAUUACUGGGCGUAAAGGGCUCGUAGGCGGCCAACUAAGUCAGACGUGAAAUCCCUCGGCUUAACCGGGGAACUGCGUCUGAUACUGGAUGGCUUGAGGUUGGGAGAGGGAUGCGGAAUUCCAGGUGUAGCGGUGAAAUGCGUAGAUAUCUGGAGGAACACCGGUGGCGAAGGCGGCAUCCUGGACCAAUUCUGACGCUGAGACGCGAAAGCGUGGGGAGCGAACAGG